rnacentral:rRNA from 1 species
UGGGAUACUCCAACCCCUGUGACAUACCAUUUGUUGCCUCGGCGGUGCCUGCUUCGGCAGCCCGCCAGAGGACCCAAACCCUUGAUUUUAUACAGUAUCUUCUGAGUAAAUGAUUAAAUAAAUCAAAACUUUCAACAACGGAUCUCUUGGUUCUGGCAUCGAUGAAGAACGCAGCGAAAUGCGAUAAGUAAUGUGAAUUGCAGAAUUCAGUGAAUCAUCGAAUCUUUGAACGCACAUUGCGCCCGCCAGUAUUCUGGCGGGCAUGCCUGUUCGAGCGUCAUUUCAACCCUCAAGCCCCCGGGCUUGGUGUUGGAGAUCGGCGUGCCCUCCGGGGCGCGCCGGCUCCCAAAUAUAGUGGCGGUCUCGCUGUAGCUUCCUCUGCGUAGUAGCACACCUCGCACUGGAAAACAGCGUGGCCACGCCGUUAAACCCCCCACUUCUGAAAGGUUGACCUCGGAUCAGGUAGGAAUACCCGCUGAACUUAAGCAUAUCAAUAAGCGGAGGAA